UACGGAGGAUCCGAGCGUUAUCCGGAUUUAUUGGGUUUAAAGGGUGCGCAGGCGGGAGAUUAAGUCGGCGGUGAAAUUUUGCAGCUCAACUGUAACAGUGCCGUUGAUACUGGGGAGCUAGGAUUUGGUUGCUGUGGGUGGAAUGUGUGGUGUAGCGGUGAAAUGCAUAGAUAUUACACAGAACACCGAUUGCGAAGGCAUCUCACAAAGCCGUUAUUGACGCUGAGGCACGAAAGUGUGGGGAUCAAACAGGAUUAGA
rnacentral:rRNA from 1 species